AGUGAACGCUGGCGGUAGGCCUAACACAUGCAAGUCGAACGGCAGCACAGUAAGAGCUUGCUCUUACGGGUGGCGAGUGGCGGACGGGUGAGGAAUACAUCGGAAUCUACUUUUUCGUGGGGGAUAACGUAGGGAAACUUACGCUAAUACCGCAUACGACCUACGGGUGAAAGCAGGGGAUCUUCGGACCUUGCGCGAUUGAAUGAGCCGAUGUCGGAUUAGCUAGUUGGCGGGGUAAAGGCCCACCAAGGCGACGAUCCGUAGCUGGUCUGAGAGGAUGAUCAGCCACACUGGAACUGAGACACGGUCCAGACUCCUACGGGAGGCAGCAGUGGGGAAUAUUGGACAAUGGGCGCAAGCCUGAUCCAGCCAUACCGCGUGGGUGAAGAAGGCCUUCGGGUUGUAAAGCCCUUUUGUUGGGAAAGAAAAGCAGCAGGUUAAUACCCCGCUGUUCUGACGGGACCCAAAGAAUAAGCACCGGCUACUUCGUG
rnacentral:rRNA from 1 species